rnacentral:tmRNA from 1 species
CUGCUUGACAAGCCGAAAAGCGUCCGGUACACACCUCUCAUCGUCGUAAUACGGCAUACACGAUUGGCGGCAAGACAGGGGUGCGAUUCCCCUCGCCUCCACCAAGACCCCACCGGCCGGUGCUUCGGCGCCGCGAUCUGCCCCAGCGACAGAUCGAAAUCUGAACGGUGCGGUGGGGUCCUGAUGGGGGCGAUCAGUUUCGAUUGGCGCUGUGACUGGAAGACGCGACGUAGGGUGACCUCCUGGCUUAGGCUUCGGCCGAGGUAAUUGGGUCAACGCUGACAAAUGUCAACGACAACGACGCUCCCGUGAUGGAGCAACUGCUGGCGGCCUAACGGCCUAAAGCGGCGCCCGGCGGGGGCGUGUCAACAGAACCCCGCCACC